UCUCCACAGCCAAGUGACCUCCUUCGUGCCCUAGCCGUCGGCGACGUACGGAGCCGCGCCUUUCUCCCUUCUGCCCUGGCCAAAUUUCUUCCACCGCCGGCAGCCGAGUUUCUCUCACCAGCCGCCGAACUUGCGUGCCCUAGAUCCACCGCCGGCCGCAACUCACAGAGCCGACAUCGCCGCUCCUCCCGAGCCGCACACCCGACGCCAACGCGCACGCUUUCUCUUCUCCUCCGGCCCUGCCCAAGCGCCGGCGAGCGCAAGCCAUUGCCGGCGAUCCAUCCUCUGCCCUAGACUCACUCAGCACCGCCACCGACCCAUCUCCUCUCCUCUUACCGCCGGCCACCACCCCGAGCAGUGACGAUCAAGUUAACAACUUCUCAACCCUAGUGCCGAUCCAUAAUUUCUCUGCCCUAGCCGAAUCUUGAAGUCCAGGCAGUGAGGGAGUGUUCUACAGCCACUUACUGUUGUUCCAGCAGCCGACAGCGAUAUCGGCUGCAAAUCUUGAUGUAGCAGUAACAAGAUGAUCUCCAGUGGUGCUAUCGAUGAGAAUGGACUUUGACGCGAGACGUAUAUCUCGGAGUCGGAAUUGGACCUUUCUUUUGUCGGAGGCGG